GACGAACGCUGGCGGCGUGCUUAACACAUGCCAGUCGAACGGAAAGGCCCUGCUCUUGUGGGGUGCUCGAGUGCCGAACGGGUGAGUAACACGUGUGUAAACUGUCCCUGUCUUUGGGAUAUCUCCAGGAAACUGCGGCGAUUACCGGAUAUAAGCUCCUGCUGCAUGGUGGGGGUUGGAAAGUUUCGGUGGUUGUGGCUGGACUAGCGGCUUAUCAGCUUGUUGGUGUGGUAGUGGCUGACGAAGGUUUCGACGGAUAGCCGGCCUGAGAGGGGGGCCGGCGACAAGAGGACUAAGAUACGGAGCAGAAUCGUACGGGAGGCAGCAGGCGGGAGUAUUGCAGAAUGGGCGGACGCCUGAUGAAGCAGCGCCGGGAGCGGGAUACCGGCUUUCGGGUUGUAAACCGCUUUGGCCUGUGACGAAGCGUGAGUGACGGUAAUGGGUAAAGAAGCACCGGCUAACUACGUG
rnacentral:rRNA from 1 species